AUUGAACGCUGGCGGCAUGCUCUACACAUGCAAGUCGAACGGUAACAGGUUAAGCUGACGAGUGGCGAACGGGUGAGUAAUGCAUCGGAACGUGCCCGAUCGUGGGGGAUAACGCAGCGAAAGCUGCGCUAAUACCGCAUACGAUCUGAGGAUGAAAGCGGGGGACCGUAAGGCCUCGCGCGAUCGGAGCGGCCGAUGUCAGAUUAGGUAGUUGGUGGGGUAAAGGCUCACCAAGCCGACGAUCUGUAGCUGGUCUGAGAGGACCACCAGCCACAAUGGGACUGAGACACGGCCCAGACUCCUACGGGAGGCAGCAGUGGGGAAUUUUGGACAAUGGGCGAAAGCCUGAUCCAGCAAUGCCGCGUGCAGGAAGAAGGCCUUCGGGUUGUAAACUGCUUUUGUACGGAGCGAAAAGGCUCUCUCUAAUACAGGGGGCUCAUGACGGUACCGUAAGAAUAAGCACCGGCUAACUACGUGCCAGCCGCCGCGGUAAAAC
rnacentral:rRNA from 1 species